rnacentral:tRNA from 1 species
GGGGCUGUAACUCAAUGGUAGAGUGUUCGCCUAGCACGUGCAAGGCUCUGUGUUCAAUUUGCAGCACCACCC